GACGAACGCUGGCGGCGUGCUUAACACAUGCAAGUCGAACGGAAAGGCCCUGCUUUUGUGGGGUGCUCGAGUGGCGAACGGGUGAGUAACACGUGAGUAACCUGCCCUUGACUUUGGGAUAACUUCAGGAAACUGGGGCUAAUACCGGAUAGGAGCUCCUGCUGCAUGGUGGGGGUUGGAAAGUUUCGGCGGUUGGGGAUGGACUCGCGGCUUAUCAGCUUGUUGGUGGGGUAGUGGCUUACCAAGGCUUUGACGGAUAGCCGGCCUGAGAGGGUGACCGGCGACAUGGGGACUGAGAUACGGCCCAGGCUCCUACGGGAGGCAGAAGUGGGGAAUAUUGCACAAUGGGCGGGAGCCUGAUGCAGCAACGCCGCGUGCGGGAUGACGGCCUUCGGGUUGUAAACCGCUUUCGCCUGUGACGAAGCGUGAGUGACGGUAAUGGGUAAAGAAGCACCGGCUAACUACGUG
rnacentral:rRNA from 1 species